rnacentral:rRNA from 1 species
CCUACGGGAGGCAGCAGUGAGGAAUAUUAGUCAAUGGACGAGAGUCUGAACCAGCCAAGUAGCGUGAAGGAUGACUGCCCUAUGGGUUGUAAACUUCUUUUAUAAAGGAAUAAAACGAGGCACGUGUGCCUUUUUGCAUGUACUUUAUGAAUAAGGAUCGGCUAACCCCGUGCCAGCAGCCGCGGUACUACGGAGGAUCCGAGCGUUAUCCGGAUUUAUUGGGUUUAAAGGGAGCGUAGAUGGGUUGUUAAGUCAGUUGUGAAAGUUUGCGGCUCAACCGUACAAUUGCAAUUGAUACUGGCAGUCGUGAGUACAGUUGAGGUAGGCGGAAUUCGUGGUGUAGCGGUGAAAUGCUUAGAUAUCACGAAGAACCCCGAUUGCGAAGGCAGCUUACUAAACUGUGACUGACAUUGAUGCUCGAAAGUGUGGGUAUCAAACAGGAUUAGAUACCCCUGUAGUC